AUCCAUUCUCGGCCUUUUGGCUAAGAUCAAAGUCUAGUAUUUGUUCUUUUCAGAUUAAUAUCUGAAAGUUUUCUCAUGGGGGAGUACCAGCAUAUAUUAAACUGUUUUUUGUAAUCCUACGGGAUGUUCGGGUCUCGGCUCCACUACCGUCACGGGUUAGCUCGGCAUUGUAUCCGGGAUUGGCCUACAUAAU